rnacentral:rRNA from 1 species
GAUGAACGCUAGCUACAGGCUUAACACAUGCAAGUCGCGGGGCAGCAUUCACUUAGCUUGCUAGGUGAGAUGGCGACCGGCGCACGGGUGAGUAACGCGUAUCCAACCUGCCCUUGUCCACGGGAUAACCCGGUGAAAACCGGCCUAAUACCGUAUGAGGUCACAAGCGGACAUCCAACUGUGACGAAAGGUUUAGCGGACAAGGAUGGGGAUGCGUCCGAUUAGCUUGACGGCGGGGUAACGGCCCACCGUGGCUACGAUCGGUAGGGGUUCUGAGAGGAAGGUCCCCCACAUUGGAACUGAGACACGGUCCAAACUCCUACGGGAGGCAGCAGUGAGGAAUAUUGGUCAAUGGACGGGAGUCUGAACCAGCCAAGUAGCGUGCAGGAUGACGGCCCUAUGGGUUGUAAACUGCUUUUGUGCGGGGAUAAAGUGUGGGACGUGUCCCAUAUUGCAGGUACCGCAUGAAUAAGGACCGGCUAAUUCCGUAG